AAUUCUAGCCCAUUAUAUUGAAGGAACUUUAAAUUAAGGUCUCACUUUAUGUUGCAAGGCCAUCCUCUGCUGGUAUAACUUUGCAACAUUGUCGGUAAGAAACGAAGUGCGAGGAAACAUGAAAGCAACUGUAUCACUCUUUCUUCUGCUGGUUAUCUCUGCCCUGGUCGCUGGACGCACAUUGCCGAAAAAUGAUCCUGGAAGCGCUAUGUACGACACACACUAUCCUGUAGACGACGAGAUUGAUAGCGACUAUCGGGGCAGCGAGUGGUUUGUUGAACAACAAGACUUCGACUUUCCUUUUGCUGAGGACAAUGAUCUUGGUAGUGGCUACUGAACGCAGAAGGAGCAAGCCAGAAAUUGAGAGGGAUUAUUUGUUCAUUGUGUUAUAAAUAUUCAACAGAGGUUAUAAAGGAACUUUAAUUGAGGGCAACAGAUGUAUUUUAGAACAAAAAUGGAAAAUAAAGAGAAGCGAUAAACACAGUAAA